UAAAAAUAUAUGUGUAAGUUCAUUCAAAAUUUUACUUCCAGGAAUUUAUUUUAAAGAAUCCAUUAUUAAUUGAUUGAUUGACUGAUUGAAGCAGAAUCUCACUCUGUCACCCAGGCUUGAGUGCAGUGGCAUAAUAGCUCACUGCAACCUCUGCCUCCCAGGUUCAAGCAAUUCUCGUGCCUCAGCCUCCCGAGUAGCUGGGACUACGGGCACAUACCACCAUGCCUGGCUAAUUUUUAUAUUUUUCGUACAGACGGGGUUUCUCCAUGUUGGCCAGGCUGGUCUCGAGCUCCUGACCUCAAGCAAUCCACCUGCCUCAGCCUCCCAAGUGCUGGUAUUACAGGGAUGAGCCACUGCACCCAGCCAAGAAUUCAUCAUUGAUGUAGCACAGAUUUCACUAUUAGAAUGUUCAUUGAAAAAUUGUCUGUGACAAUAAAAUAUUGAAAUCUACCUAUUAAAAGAUAAAGAGAAACUGCCCAGAGAGGAUGACCACUUACUUAAAGAAACCCAGGGAAUGUAGAGGAAGAAGGGAUUUGAACCUAGGUCAGCCCACUUUCAAAGCCCAUGCCUUUGUUUACUACAAGAGUAUUUUCUAAUAUCAUAUUACAACCAAGGCCACCAAAAAGUUGUUAUAAACUCUUAAGCCACAAUGCAGAGGGCCUCCUUCAAGACAAACACAAUCUGUUUGGAAUGCACCAAGUUUAUUGAAAAAUAUUACU
rnacentral:lncRNA from 10 species